AGCAGCAUGGCGCAGUGGUAGCGCGCGGGGCCCAUAUGACAGAUUAAGAGUUGAUCACCCCGAGGUCACUUGAUCGAAACAAGUUGCUGCUA